GAUGAACGCUAGCUACAGGCUUAACACAUGCCAGUCGAGGGGAAACGACAUCGAAAGCUUGCUUUUGAUGGGCGUCGACCGGCGCACGGGUGAGUAACGCGUAUCCAACCUGCCCAUCACUUGGGAAUAACCUUGCGAAAGUAAGACUAAUACCCAAUGAUAUCCCACGAAGGCAUCGGAAUGGGAUUAAAGAUUUAUCGGAGAUGGAUGGGGAUGCGUCUGAUUAGCUUGUUGGCGGGGUAACGGCCCACCAAGGCAACGAUCAGUAGGUGUUCUGAGAGGAAGGUCCCCCGCAUUGGAACUGAGACACGGUCCAAACUCCUACGGGAGGCAGCAGUGAGGAAUAUUGGUCAAUGGGCGAGAGCCUGAACCAGCCAAGUAGCGUGCAGGAAGACGGCCCUAUGGGUUGUAAACUGCUUUUAUAAGGGAAUAAAGUGGGUCACGUGUGACUUUUUGCAUGUACCUUAUGAAUAAGGACCGGCUAAGUCCGUG
rnacentral:rRNA from 1 species